CUUACCUACUCUUGACAUCCUGCGAAUUUGGUAGAGAUACCUUAGUGCCUUCGGGAGCGCAGAGACAGGUGCUGCAUGGCUGUCGUCAGCUCGUGUUGUGAAAUGUUGGGUUAAGUCCCGUAACGAGCGCAACCCUUGUCCUUAUUUGCCAGCGCGUAAUGGCGGGAACUCUAAGGAGACUCCCGGUGACAAACCGGAGGAAGGUGGGGACGACGUCAAGUCAUCAUGCCCCUUACGAGUAGGGCUACACACGUGCUACAAUGGUCGGUACAAAGGGUUGCCAACUCGCGAGAGUGAGCCAAUCCCGAAAAGCCGAUCUCAGUCCGGAUCGGAGUCUGCAACUCGACUCCGUGAAGUCGGAAUCGCUAGUAAUCGUGGAUCAGAAUGCCACGGUGAAUAUGUUCCCGGGCCUU
rnacentral:rRNA from 1 species